UCGGCUACGAGCAGAUCUGCGGCCGGCAGGGUGCAGGCGGUGCGGCGACGCUGUGCAAGCUCUGGAGCAGGCGGCGAGCAGAUCUGCGGCCGGAAGGGUGGGGAGGCGCGGUGCAGAUGCAGGCUCUGGAGCAGGGGCGGCGACCGGUGCAGAUGCAGGCGGCGAUGCAGGCUCUGGAGCAGGCGCGGCGACCGGUGCAGAUCAGAUGCAGCAGCGACAGCAGCAGCAGCAGCGCGCAGAACAGCAGAGGCACCGCGGUGUUGGGGGAGACGGGUGGGGCAGCGGCGAGUCGGCGACGGGUGGAUGCAGGCUUGGAGAUUGGGGGCUUCUUGGCUUCAAGCUGUGCGGCGCAGAUUAGGAAUGAGGAAUUAGGAAAUAGGAGGCGCUGAUUAGGGUUUAG
rnacentral:lncRNA from 1 species